CUAUAGAACCGCCACAGGAACAAUGGAAGCACGGUUUUGUUGGAGGAACUAUGGAUAUAUCUUACAACCAGUCAAGAGUUGCGGUAUGUGGUUUUCGACAAUUUUACGUCGUAAACGGUGACUACAGGACAAUGGGGGCAUGUUUUUGGUCAUUUUUAAAUAAAACCGAAUUUAAAAAUAUUAAGCCAUUGUUGGAUACA
rnacentral:lncRNA from 1 species